GGUGUUGCAUGGCUGUCGUCAGCUCGUGUCGUGAGAUGUUGGGUUAAGUCCCGCAACGAGCGCAACCCUCAUCCUUAGUUACCAUCAGGUAAUGCUGGGGACUUUAAGGAAACUGCCAGUGAUAAACUGGAGGAAGGUGGGGAUGAUGUCAAGUCAUCAUGGCCCUUAUGGAGUGGGCUACACACGUGCUACAAUGGUGGCUACAAUGGGCUGCAAAGUCGCGAGGCUAAGCUAAUCCCUUAAAAGCCAUCUCAGUUCGGACUGUACUCUGCAACUCGAGUGCAUGAAGUUGGAAUCGCUAGUAAUCGUGGAUCAGCACGCCACGGUGAAUACGUUCCCGGGUCUUGUACACAC
rnacentral:rRNA from 1 species